ACAUUUUAUUCAUUGUAAAACACAAAACUAAACAAAAAACAGCUUAAUUUACCACACACACACACACACAUAUAUACAGGUGUAAAUUAUAAGGUGUUCACUGUUCAGAUAUGAAUAUUUUUUCUUUGCUCUUUUCAGGUUCUUUAGAUUUCUUUAAAAAUCCAAUUUUGUUUUCUAAUAAGCAAAAAGUUAAAUCACUUUACCCAUGUUUAUAUGUUAAAUUGCACUUGUCUCUCUCUCUAUCUCUGUUAACACAUUUGUGUUUGUUUGAUUAAUUCUUGUGUCUUUCAGCCUGUUUCUGCCUAUCACCAUGAGUGAUUCCUUUAUACUCAGAUUUUUCAUCAAGAUCUCAAUUAUAAGCUCAAGUCUUGAUGACAACUUGAGGAUCUGCAGGAAGCACCACCAUGUAAGGAAGGCCAAGACCACUCUGGAAUCAGUCAAGGCUCAUAGGAACUCCAAUCUUCCCAACUGUGAGAGGGCCUUGCUCCAGUGACUGUCAGUGAAAUGGAGUGAGGCAUACCAGGAUAUGCCUGGUUUUACUCUUGGGAAGGAGGUUGAACAGUGCAGUAUUUCUUCUAUAGGAUUGCAGUGAACAGACAUGCUACUGUAACUCUCAUGGUCAUGUGCUGGAAUUAGCAGAUGUUCAACAAUUUGGGCAUCUCGCUGACCUGUUGAUAUCAGAAGACCGCAACAGCUCUGCAAAGCAAGUUGCAAAACAGAAUCCAUGGAACUGGCAGUGACUGGAAACCAAUUGGAAGACUUUGGUCUGUGAUGUAGAGGAGUGGGCAGAGGUAACAGAAGCAAAGACAACAAACAACAAAAGUGAUAUGGAUGUCUUCGUCAUAUGGCAUGACUCUGCUGACCCAGCAACAAAGAGGAGGGUGUUCAACAUCAUCCUGCUAGUCAGGAUUCUUCAGGAGAAGCAGUGGAUUCUUGUGGCAGAGAUGGCCAACCACUAUAAAUACCUUUCAACUCAUCCUGGUUCCUUCAAAGAACUUUCCUGCUUGUUUGCUUCUGAAAUGUACUGAUUCGACAUGUGGCCUAAACAAAGAGGGGUUAAAAGGUCUAUGGAUCAUCAUUCUCAGAAAGCAACAAAAUAACUGAGAAAUAAACAACAAUACGAUGGUGCAAUCUAGAGACCUGCAAGGUACCUGCAAGUUUUGGCUGGAGCAGAGAACAUACAUUUUU